UGAAUAAUUGAAAAGAACUUAUGAAGGGGACAAAUUUGAAGAAGUAUACCGUAAGAUUUCCCUUGCAGUGACUGCAUUUGAAGCAGCUUUUAUGGUAAGGAAUGCCUUCAAGAGUUAACAAGUCAACAACAUAUACAGUCUUAUCACAAGCCGCACAUUUGUCAAGAGUUCCAGUGAAAGACAUGUUUUCUACCCUUCCUCAAGACCUUUCAAAUGCUUUGUGUUUAUGUCUUAUGUCUUUUCCCUUUAAGGUCUGAGGAACAAAGAGCAGGUUCAACAAAGAAUAAUGCGCCCCUCAGACAAAUGGGGAUUGAACAAAGUCUUGGAUAUGUCUAAGCACAAGUAACUUAUAUCGCGGAUAUUAAAGGGUUCACAAGUGAUUGGAGACCCAACAAUUUUGUGAUGCAAAAAUGGAAAGUUUGUGUUGUGAUUUGUGG
rnacentral:lncRNA from 1 species